CCCCACGUCCGGCCACCCGCCCGGAAGUGGCCCCGCCCCAGGAGUGCGGCAUGGCGGGGGCGGAGCCCGCGCACCUGUUGGCCCCACCUGCCGCACCUGCGCCCCACCUGCGCCCCCCCCACCUGCGCUGCACCUGCGCCACCUACCCGCCUCAGCACGGGUGAACCAUGGCCCGAGAGCAGGAAAGGAUGGUACAAGAUCAGCAGGAAGCAGGAUGGAGAGGAGACCCCUAGCCUGUCUGUAGAGGAAGGAGCAGGGAAGCGGGAGAGAUCAAGGCAGAGAAAGAGAAAAAGAGACGCCAAGGACCACCAGGAAAGGGACUGAGUGACAUCGAGGAACUCACCGUGAACGACCUUCCUGCCAGAUUGGAGGACUUGACGACCUCGGUGACACUGACGUGCAGACACGUGCAGUCCGGAGCAGAAGCAGCAUUUGGUGAGGUAAUCCCGCCCUGCGGCCUCCACUUCUGGGUUCCAUGUUGGUCCUAACCACGCUUCUGUUUUCUUCCUCUCCCAUCUCCUUCCCUGGAGAAUCAACCAAGUUUCUCAACCCGUGGUGAUCACCUCUCCCACAGGGCUACAUAAUGAGAAAACAGUAUCAUUAUGCAGCCCUGGUACUUAGCCCUGACUGGCCUGGAACUCACAGCUCCGCCUGCCUCUGCUUCCUGAGCGCCGGGAUUAAAG